AUUCAAACCGCGCGGGAGAAGAAUCUUCCAGAAAGAACGCUGACGCGUUAGCGGAGAAGACAGUACCUAGAAUCUUGGUCAAGGUCCAUGAUGUUUGCCUACUACAUUUGAUCUGCUUUGUCUACCCAUUCAAAGGCUAUAUAGUGUUGGAGAAACAGAAGAGAGCCUCGGGGACAUGCGGAAAGCUCUACUGUCCAAUGUGAAGAAAGGGAACAACAGAGAGACAGUGAAGUUCAAAAUGGAGAAGACAUGAAGUUGUCCGUGACGCACCCAUGGUAGAGGACUUCAUGGCAAGAUGGCCUGCGCUCUUUGAUGUCAUUGAGGUCAAUGCUGAGUUUAAGAGAAUCACCACAACCCCACUCCAGUCUAAAUGUAUUUCUCAACUUGAUAUACACUCAGAUAAACUGCUGAAGUUGUUCCA